rnacentral:rRNA from 1 species
AUUGAACGCUGGCGGCAGGCCUAACACAUGCAAGUCGAGCGAGCGGCGGACGGGUGAGUAAUGUAUGGGGACUGCCCGAUAGAGGGGGAUAACUAAUGGAAACGGUAGCUAAUACCGCAUACUAUCGGAUAACCCAUAUGGGAUUAGCUAGUAGGUGAGGUAAUGGCUCACCUAGGCGACGAUCCCUAGCUGGUCUGAGAGGAUGAUCAGCCACACUGGGACUGAGACACGGCCCAGAAUCCUCCGGAGUCAGCAUUGGGGAAUAUUGCACAAUGGGCGCAAGCCUGAUUCAGCCAUGCCGCGUGGAUGAAGAAGGCCCUAGGGUUGUAAAGUACUUUCAGUCGAGCGGCGUUACCGACAGAAGAAGCACCGGCUAACUCCGUGCCAGCAGCCGCGGUAAUAC